rnacentral:rRNA from 1 species
GAUGAACGCUAGCGGGAGGCUUAAUACAUGCAAGUCGAACGGUAACAGGCGUAGCAAUACGUGCUGACGAGUGGCGCACGGGUGAGGAACACGUACGCAAUCUGCCUUUGACUGGGGGAUAGCCCUGGGAAACCAGGAUUAAUACCCCAUAACGUUACGAGAGGGCAUCCUUUUGUAACUAAACCUUCGGGGGUCAGAGAUGAGCGUGCGUCUGAUUAGGCGGUUGGCGGGGUAACGGCCCACCAAACCAACGAUCAGUAGCUGGCGUGAGAGCGCGACCAGCCAGACGGGAACUGAGACACGGUCCCGACUCCUACGGGAGGCAGCAGUAGGGAAUAUUGGACAAUGGCUGAAAAGCUGAUCCAGCCAUCCCGCGUGAAGGCAGAAGGUCCUAUGGAUUGUAAACUUCUUUUCUCUGGGAAGAAAAGGCGGGUUUCUACCUGCUCUGACGGUACCAGAGGAAUAAGCACCGGCUAACUCCGUGCCAGCCGCCGCCGUAACAC